CCUAGAUCUAAUUCCCAACCCGAUUCUUUUUCCCUUCUCUCUUUUCUUUCCUCUCUCGCCCCCGUUCCCCCUUCUUCCCAUCUGUGAUUUCCAGGUUUCGGCCACAUCUCCGACCGACGACGGCGUGAUCUACGACGAUCGGCGGUGGAAGGUUUUCGUUUGGGAAUUGGUCAAAGAUGGUGAAAUUAGUUCAACUCAGCCAAAUUGAACAGAUUUGGCAAUUCUUUGGCUGUUUUACGACCUUACAAGCAACAAGAAGGGAAUUAGCUGGAGACAACUACUACAGUAUGUGAAAAAAGGCAAAGGAGAUUUGAUGGGGAUCAAAGAUUUUGUGGCACAUGAAGAUGACUAUAUGUAUUCUUAGUGUUGUUGGAUGGAUGAUGAACUUAUAAAACAUUGGGUUGUUGAACUUUGUAUCAUAUUUUCUAGUAGCUAGAACAAGAUGGAUAUUGUAAACUUUGUUGAAAACUUUAUACUUCUUGAAUUAUGAGUUGAUCGAUGUGUUGAAUACUAAAUUUGGAUGUGUUGAAUGUUAAAUUAGGAUGUGUUGAAUGCA